ACGGAAGGCAGCAGUGGGGAAUAUUGCACAAUGGGCGCAAGCCCGAUGCAGCGACGCCGCGUGAGCGAAGAAGUAUUUCGGUAUGUAAAGCUCUAUCAGCAGGGAAGAAAAUGACGGUACCUGACUAAGAAGCUCCGGCUAAAUACGUGCCAGCAGCCGCGGUAAUACGUAUGGAGCAAGCGUUAUCCGGAUUUACUGGGUGUAAAGGGAGCGUAGACGGAACAGCAAGUCUGAUGUGAAAGGCAGGGGCUCAACUCCUGGACUGCAUUGGAAACUGUUGAUCUUGAGUGCCGGAGAGGUAAGCGGAAUUCCUAGUGUAGCGGUGAAAUGCGUAGAUAUUAGGAGGAACACCAGUGGCGAAGGCGGCUUACUGGACGGUAACUGACGUUGAGGCUCGAAAGCGUGGGGAGCAAACAGGAUUAGAUACCCUGGUA
rnacentral:rRNA from 1 species